UACGAACUGUGCGAACGUUAUUCGGAAUCACUGGGCUUAAAGGGUGCGUAGGCGGCUUUGUAGGUCAGGUGUGAAAUCCCACGGCUCAACCGUGGAAUUGCGCUUGAAACCAUAAAGCUUGAGGGAGAUAGAGGAGAGCGGAACUGAUGGUGGAGCGGUGAAAUGCGUUGAUAUCAUCAGGAACACCGGUGGCGAAAGCGGCUCUCUGGAUCUCUUCUGACGCUCAGGCACGAAAGCUAGGGGAGCGAACGGG
rnacentral:rRNA from 1 species